rnacentral:rRNA from 1 species
GACGAACGCUGGCGGCGUGCCUAAUACAUGCAAGUAGAACGCUGAAGGAGGAGCUUGCUCUUCUGGAUGAGUUGCGAACGGGUGAGUAACGCGUAGGUAACCUGCCUGGUAGCGGGGGAUAACUAUUGGAAACGAUAGCUAAUACCGCAUAAUAGUAGAUGUUGCAUGAUAUUUACUUAAAAGGUGCAAUUGCACCACUACCAGAUGGACCUGCGUUGUAUUAGCUAGUUGGUGGGGUAACGGCUCACCAAGGCGACGAUACAUAGCCGACCUGAGAGGGGGAUCGGCCACACUGGGACUGAGACACGGCCCAGGCUCCUACGGGAGGCAGCAGUAGGGAAUCUUCGGCAAUGGACGAAAGUCUGACCGAGCAACGCCGCGUGAGUGAAGAAGGGUUUCGGAUCGUAAAGCUCUGUUGUAAGAGAAGAACGAGUGUGAGAGUGGAAAGUUCACACUGUGACGGUAGCUUACCAGAAAGAGACGGCUAACUACGUG